rnacentral:rRNA from 1 species
UACGUAGGGUGCGAGCGUUGUCCGGAAUUAUUGGGCGUAAAGAGCUCGUAGGCGGCCUGUCGCGUCGGUUGUGAAAGCCCGGGGCUUAACCCCGGGUCUGCAGUCGAUACGGGCAGGCUAGAGUUCGGUAGGGGAGAUCGGAAUUCCUGGUGUAGCGGUGGAAUGCGCAGAUAUCAGGAGGAACACCGAUGGCGAAGGCAGAUCUCUGGGCCGUAACUGACGCUGAGGAGCGAAAGCAUGGGGAGCGAACAGG